UCCCUCUUAGCUCAGUUGGUAGAGCGCGUCACUAGUAUAAACAGUUCUCGACAAUCUGUUAUGACGAGGUCAGUCGUUCAAAUCGGCUAGAGGGAA